UGGUCAAGUUAUUAAGGGUGCAGGGCGGAUGCCUUGGCACUAGGAGCCGAUGAAGGACGUGAUAAGCUGCGAUAAGCUUCGGGGAGUUGCACGUAAACUUUGAUCCGAAGAUUUCCGAAUGAGGAAACUCACUUAGAGUAAUGUCUAAGUAUCAUUAAGUGAAUACAUAGCUUAAUGAGGGGAACUCAGGGAACUGAAACAUCUAAGUACCUGAAGGAAGAGAAAGAAAUUCGAUUCCGUAAGUAGCGGCGAGCGAACGCGGAUUAGCCCAAACCAAUAAAGUUUUCUUUAUUGGGGUUGCGGACAUAUCAUAACGAAGAGGUAUCGUAAUUGAAGAGGUUUGGAAAGACCCACCACAGAAGGUAAUAGUCCUGUAUGUUAAACGAGAAGACUUCAGAUAUGAUCCAGAGUACCACGGGACACGUGAAACCCUGUGGGAAGCAGGAGGGACCACCCUCCAAGGCUAAAUACUACCUAGUGACCGAUAGCGUAUAGUACCGUGAGGGAAAGGUGAAAAGAACCCCGGGAGGGGAGUGAAAUAGAACCUGAAACCCUGCACUUACAAGCUGUGGAAGCACAUUUCUUGUGUGACCGCGUACUUUUUGUAGAACGGGCCAACGAGUUACGUUAAGUAGCAAGGUUAAGCACUUAAGGUGCGGAGCCGUAGCGAAAGCGAGUUUUAACUGAGCGUUCAGUUACUUGACGUAGACCCGAAACCGGGCGACCUACCCAUGAGCAGGAUGAAGCGAAAGUAAAAUUUCGUGGAGGUCCGAACCCACGAGCGUUGAAAAGCUCGGGGAUGACUUGUGGGUAGCGGUGAAAUUCCAAUCGAGCCCGGAGAUAGCUGGUUCUCCCCGAAAUAGCUUUAGGGCUAGCCUCAAGGUGAGAGAUACGGAGGUAGAGCACUGAAUGUCCUAGGGGGUAUUGCACCUACCGAAGACUAUCAAACUCCGAAUGCCGUCAUCUUAUACUUGGGAGUCAGACUGUGGGUGAUAAGAUUCAUAGUCGAAAGGGCAACAGCCCAGAUCGUCAGCUAAGGUCCCUAAAUGUAAGUUAAGUGGUAAAGGAUGUGGGAUUGCACAGACAACCAGGAUGUUGGCUUAGAAGCAGCCACUCAUUCAAAGAGUGCGUAAUAGCUCACUGGUCGAGUGAUCCUGCGCCGAAGAUUUCCGGGGCUAAAACUUACUACCGAAGCUACGGCAUCAGUAAUGAUGGGUAGGGGAGCUUCCCAUACGGGUUGAAGCAUGACCGUAAGGACAUGUGGACAGUAUGGGAGUGAGAAUGUUGGCAUGAGUAGCGAGAUGUGGGUGAGAAUCCCACAGGCCGUAAACCCAAGGUUUCCAGGGGAAGGUUCGUCCGCCCUGGGUUAGUCGGGACCUAAGCUGAGGCCGAAAGGCGUAGGUGAUGGACAACAGGUUGAUAUUCCUGUACUACCGAUAACCGUUUGAGAGAAGGGAUGACACAGUAGGAUAAGCUAAGCACACUGUUGGUUAUGUGUGCCCAAGCAUUGAGGCAGUCAAAGCAGGCAAAUCCGCUUUGAUAAUGCUGGGAUGUGAUGGGGAGCGAAAUUUAGUAGCGAAGUAGCUGAUUUCACACUGUCAAGAAAAGUCUCUAUCGAGGUUAAAGGUACCCGUACCGCAAACCGACACAGGUGGGUGAGGAGAGUAUCCUAAGGCCAGCGAGAGAACUGUUGUUAAGGAACUCGGCAAAAUGACCCCGUAACUUAGGGAUAAGGGGUGCCACCAUCCGGUGGCCGCAGAGAAUAGGCCCAAGCGACUGUUUACCAAAAACAUAGGUUUCUGCUAAGUCGCAAGACGAUGUAUAGGAGCUGACGCCUGCCCGGUGCUGGAAGGUUAAGGGGAUCUGUUAGAGCAAUCGAAGCAGUGAACUUAAGCCCCAGUAAACGGCGGCCGUAACUAUAACGGUCCUAAGGUAGCGAAAUUCCUUGUCGGGUAAGUUCCGACCCGCACGAAAGGCGUAACGAUUUGGGCACUGUCUCAACAACAGACUCGGUGAAAUUGUAAUUCCGGUGAAGAUGCCGGAUACCUGCGACAGGACGGAAAGACCCCAUGGAGCUUUACUGUAGCUUGACAUUGGGUCUUGGUACUACAUGUACAGGAUAGGUGGGAGGCUUUGAAACCAGGACGCCAGUUUUGGCGGAGCCAUCCUUGGGAUACCACCCUUGUAGUACUGGGACUCUAACCAUAGGCCAUGAAUCUGGUCUUGGGACACUGUCAGGUGGGCAGUUUGACUGGGGCGGUCGCCUCCCAAAAGGUAACGGAGGCGCUCAAAGGUUCUCUCAGUACGGUCGGAAAUCGUACGUAGAGUGUAAAGGCAAAAGAGAGCUUGAUUGCAAGACAUACAGGUCGAGCAAGGAUGAAAAUCGGACUUAGUGAUCCGGUGGUUCUGCGUGGAAGGGCCAUCGCUCAACGGAUAAAAGCUACCCUGGGGAUAACAGGCUUAUCUCCCCCAAGAGUCCACAUCGACGGGGAGGUUUGGCACCUCGAUGUCGGCUCAUCACAUCCUGGGGCUGUAGUAGGUCCCAAGGGUUGGGCUGUUCGCCCAUUAAAGUGGUACGCGAGCUGGGUUCAGAACGUCGUGAGACAGUUCGGUCCCUAUCCGUCGCAGGCGUAGGAAAUUUGAGAAGACCUGUCCUUAGUACGAGAGGACCGGGAUGGACGUACCUCUGGUGUACCAGUUGU
rnacentral:rRNA from 1 species